rnacentral:rRNA from 1 species
GACGAACGCUGGCGGCGUGCUUAACACAUGCAAGUCGAACGGAAAGGCCCUGCUUUUGUGGGGUUCUCGAGUGGCGAACGGGUGAGUAACACGUGAGUAACCUGCCCUUGUCUUUGGGAUAACUUCAGGAAACUGGGGCUAAUACCGGAUAGGAGCUCCUGCUGCAUGGUGGGGGUUGGAAAGUUUCGGCGGUUGGGGAUGGACUCGCGGCUUAUCAGCUUGUUGGUGGGGUAGUGGCUUACCCAGGCUUUGACGGAUAGCCGGCCUGAGAGGGUGACCGGGCACAUUGGGACUGAGAGAGGGAGCAGGCUGGUACGGGAGGCAGCAGUGGGGAGUAUUGCACAGUGGGCGGGAGCCUGAGGCGGCAGCGCCGCGUGCGGGAUGACGGCCUUCGGGUUAUGAACCGCUUUCGCCUGUGACGAAGCGUGAGUGACGGUAAUGGGUAAAGAAGCACCGGCUAACUACGUG